rnacentral:rRNA from 1 species
AGUGAACGCUGGCGGCAGGCCUAACACAUGCAAGUCGAACGGCAGCGGGUCGUAGCAAUACGAUGCCGGCGAGUGGCGGACGGGUGAGGAACACAUCGGAAUCUACCUUGUCGUGGGGGGAUAACGUAGGGAAACUUACGCUAAUACCGCAUACGAACCAUGGUUGAAAGCGGCGGACCGCAAGGCGUCGCGCGAUUGGAUGAGCCGAUGUCCGAUUAGCUAGUUGGCGGGGUAAAGGCCCACCAAGGCGACGAUCGGUAGCUGGUCUGAGAGGAUGAUCAGCCACACUGGAACUGAGACACGGUCCAGACUCCUACGGGAGGCAGCAGUGGGGAAUAUUGGACAAUGGGGGGCAACCCUGAUCCAGCCAUGCCGCGUGUGUGAAGAAGGCC